UUCCUGAGUGCUCCACUUGCCCACAGUGGCAGCUGGCUUGAUAAGACCCUUUUAUUGGCUGACUUCCCUUCCAGUCUCUCUUCCUAUGCUUCCUAGAUCACCUCCCAACUUUUUAUAUCCCAGUCUCUCGCCUUCCCAACAUCAUUUCUGAGAAUAGUUCCGUGUAAAGUUUGGGAAUGUGGGCCUGGAUCAUGUGCUCAUCCUUGACCAAUCAUUGUGGUCAGGUAGAUGAACUAUGUUAAUUGGUCAGGGUACCUAAGGGUAGGGCAGGUCGCCUCCAGACCCACACAUGGGUAAUAGGAGGGGAGCCUUGGUUCAUCCAGGAAAAAUCAAUCAAUGUGUUGUCACCGGAAAUGGGAGAAUGGAUGUUGAGCAGGCAGAAACAACACGUGUACAGCUCCACCGGCUUCCCUAUCAGUCCUUAGGCACUACAUUCAGAGGUAGAUGUCUCCAAACUGGGUCUCUGCCACUGCUUUGUUCCAGUUGAAGAGUUUAUAUUAAAUAUGUUGAUGUCAAAAGAACAGGGUGUCUCACCAUCUCAGAGGUAAGUUGAGGAUGUGAGAUGCUUCUUUUCUACACCAAACUGCUCAGUUAAUUUGCCCUCACUCUGCCACUGCUUGAAUUAUCAAAUUAAAGUAAAGUCUUUCCCAUGUGCCUGUCUGAAACAUCGAUAUCUGAACAAUUUGUUUGAAUGAUGGCUUUCCAAACUAAUGAUGAGGGCCAGCUUCCUGGAUAUGAAACUCAUACAGUGUCAGAACUCAUGCUUUAUUGCUCCGCUGUUGCAGUCUUCAAAUUCUUUGUAAAUUUUGAAAAAACUAAGGGGCUCUGCAUUUUCGUUUAUACUGGGUCCUGUAAAUUAUAUAGAUAGUACUGCUAAAGGCCUAUGUCUCCUGGUAGCUCAGGGACUGAGCAUUCUUGUCCAUUUGUUGAUUAAUCAACCCUGUUCAGAUCGAUGAGACAGUGGAGAUCUUUAUUACAUAGCCAUUCACAGAGGCAUGUGGAUUUUUAUUUUCCCUCUGCUCCAACUUCCAUUACCUUUAUUACCAUGGCACAAUUUUCUAAGGUCCUUAAAAUGCCUAAAUUUGAGUAGGGAGUCUUGCACAAUAGAAGAAAGCGUAAAUAUUGCCUUCUGGAAGAUGCCUUUGCAACAGACCUUCUUGUGUCUGAAUUAAGACUCCUUCCUAUAAUUUUCCCCUAACCUCACAGGUCAUCUGCAGUCAGAAAAUCUACAGAAAGGCUAUCAAAUGUGUCUUUAGCCCCUUUUCCAUCAGCAGAAGCAGUAACAACAGCUGCUCUCAAAUGAGCAUUUCUGGUGGAAGAAGCCUCUGAGCUCAGAAUAACACCAGAUAUCUUCGGUUCUGAUGUUAAUACAACAAUCUUCCCCACUUUCAUCUUGAUGAUCUGCAGUUCUAUUCUCAGCAUGGCAGCCAGAGUGAGACUUUUACAUGGAAAUCAGAUUAUAUCACUCCUCACUCAAAGCCUUCCUCUGAUUUCACAUUCCAUCUAGUUCUAGAACAUGUUAGGCAUUUCCUAAUUUAGGCCUGGACUCUCCUCUGCUUGGAAAACUUGUCCCAAAUAUCUACAAGACUCACUCUCUCAUCUUCUUCAAGUUUGUUCAACUGUUUUCCUUCCAGUGAGCCUACUCUGAUACUUUACCUAAAAUUAUAAGGGCAUCACCCUCGUGUGGCCCCCUCCAGAAUUUCCUGUCUCCUAACUUUCUUG
ensembl:lncRNA